AGGCUUAACACAUGCAAGUCGAGGGGCAGCAUGGUCUUAGCUUGCUAAGGCCGAUGGCGACCGGCGCACGGGUGAGUAACACGUAUCCAACCUGCCGUCUACUCUUGGACAGCCUUCUGAAAGGAAGAUUAAUACAAGAUGGCAUCAUGAGUCCGCAUGUUCACAUGAUUAAAGGUAUUCCGGUAGACGAUGGGGAUGCGUUCCAUUAGAUAGUAGGCGGGGUAACGGCCCACCUAGUCUUCGAUGGAUAGGGGUUCUGAGAGGAAGGUCCCCCACAUUGGAACUGAGACACGGUCCAAACUCCUACGGGAGGCAGCAGUGAGGAAUAUUGGUCAAUGGGCGAGAGCCUGAACCAGCCAAGUAGCGUGAAGGAUGACUGCCCUAUGGGUUGUAAACUUCUUUUAUAAAGGAAUAAAGUCGGGUAUGGAUACCCGUUUGCAUGUACUUUAUGAAUAAGGAUCGGCUAACUCCGUGCCAGCAGCCGCGGUAAUACGGAGGAUCCGAGCGUUAUCCGGAUUUAUUGGGUUUAAAGGGAGCGUAGAUGGAUGUUUAAGUCAGUUGUGAAAGUUUGCGGCUCAACCGUAAAAUUGCAGUUGAUACUGGAUAUCUUGAGUGCAGUUGAGGCAGGCGGAAUUCGUGGUGUAGCGGUGAAAUGCUUAGAUAUCACGAAGAACUCCGAUUGCGAAGGCAGCCUGCUAAGCUGCAACUGACAUUGAGGCUCGAAAGUGUGGGUAUCAAACAGGAUUAGAUACCCUGGUAGUCCACACGGUAAACGAUGAAUACUCGCUGUUUGCGAUAUACUGCAAGCGGCCAAGCGAAAGCGUUAAGUAUUCCACCUGGGGAGUACGCCGGCAACGGUGAAACUCAAAGGAAUUGACGGGGGCCCGCACAAGCGGAGGAACAUGUGGUUUAAUUCGAUGAUACGCGAGGAACCUUACCCGGGCUUAAAUUGCAGAUGAAUUACGGUGAAAGCCGUAAGCCGCAAGGCAUCUGUGAAGGUGCUGCAUGGUUGUCGUCAGCUCGUGCCGUGAGGUGUCGGCUUAAGUGCCAUAACGAGCGCAACCCUUGUUGUCAGUUACUAACAGGUUCCGCUGAGGACUCUGACAAGACUGCCAUCGUAAGAUGUGAGGAAGGUGGGGAUGACGUCAAAUCAGCACGGCCCUUACGUCCGGGGCUACACACGUGUUACAAUGGGGGGUACAGAGGGCCGCUACCACGCGAGUGGAUGCCAAUCCCCAAAACCUCUCUCAGUUCGGACUGGAGUCUGCAACCCGACUCCACGAAGCUGGAUUCGCUAGUAAUCGCGCAUCAGCCACGGCGCGGUGAAUACGUUCCCGGGCCUUGUACACACCGCCCGUCAAGCCAUGGGAGCCGGGGGUACCUGAAGUGCGUAACCGCGAGGAGCGCCCUAGGGUAAAACUGGUGACUGGGGCUAAGUCAUAACA
rnacentral:rRNA from 2 species